UACGGGGGGGGUAAGCGUUGUUCGGAAUUACUGGGCGUAAAGGGCUCGUAGGCGGCCAACUAAGUCAGACGUGAAAUCCCUCAGCUUAACUGGGGAACUGCGUCUGAUACUGGAUGGCUUGGAUUCGGGAGAGGAAUGCGGAAUUCCAGGUGUAGCGGUGAAAUGCGUAGAUAUCUGGAGGAAUACCGGUGGCGAAGGCGGCAUCCUGGACCGACAUUGACGCUGAGGAGCGAAAGCGUGGGGAGCGAACAGG
rnacentral:rRNA from 1 species